rnacentral:rRNA from 1 species
UGAGGAAUAUUGGUCAAUGGGCGGAAGCCUGAACCAGCCAAGUAGCGUGAGGGAUGACUGCCCUAUGGGUUGUAAACCUCUUUUAUAAGGGAAUAAAAUACGGGACGUGUCCUGUUUUGCAUGUACCUUAUGAAUAAGGACCGGCUAAUUCCGUGCCAGCAGCCGCGGUAAUACGGAAGGUCCGGGCGUUAUCCGGAUUUAUUGGGUUUAAAGGGAGCGCAGGCGGUCUUAUAAGCGUGACGUGAAAUGCAGCGGCUCAACCGUAUGAUGUGCGUCGCGAACUGUGAGACUUGAGUGUACGCAGAGGUGCCGGAAUUCAUGGUGUAGCGGUGAAAUGCUUAGAUAUCAUGAAGAACUCCGAUCGCGAAGGCAAGUGCCUGGAGUGCUACUGACGCUGAGGCUCGAAAGU